GAGUUUGAUCCUGGCUCAGAACGAACGCUGGCGGCAGGCUUAACACAUGCAAGUCGAACGCUCGUAGCAAUACGGGAGUGGCAGACGGGUGAGUAACGCGUGGGAACAUACCCUCCGGUUCGGAAUAGCUCAGGGAAACUUGGAUUAAUACCGGAUACGGCCGAGAGGCGAAAGAUUUAUCGCCGGAGGAUUGGCCCGCGUUCGAUUAGCUAGUUGGUGGGGUAACGGCUCACCAAGGCGAUGAUCGAUAGCUGGUCUGAGAGGAUGAUCAGCCACAUUGGGACUGAGACACGGCCCAAACUCCUACGGGAGGCAGCAGUGGGGAAUAUUGGACAAUGGGCGCAAGCCUGAUCCAGCCACGCCGCGUGAGUGAUGAAGGCCUUAGGGUUGUAAAGCUCUUUCGCUCGGGACGAUAAUGACGGUACCGAGAUAAGAAGCCCCGGCUAACUUCGUGCCAGCAGCCGCGGUAAUACGAAGGGGGCUAGCGUUGUUCGGAAUUACUGGGCGUAAAGCGCGUGUAGGCGGGUCUUUAAGUCAGGGGUGUAAUGCCAAGGCUCAACCUUGGAACUGCCUCUGAUACUGGAGAUCUUGAGUCCGGAAGAGGUGAGUGGAAUUGCGAGUGUAGAGGUGAAAUUCGUAGAUAUUCGCAAGAACACCAGUGGCGAAGGCGGCUCACUGGCCCGGAACUGAC
rnacentral:rRNA from 1 species